GUAGUCUGCAACCCGACUACAUGAAGCUGGAAUCGCUAGUAAUCGCGGAUCAGAAUGCCGCGGUGAAUACGUUCCCGGGUCUUGUACACACCGCCCGUCACACCAUGGGAGUCGGAAAUGCCCGAAGUCUGUGACCCAACCUGAGAGGGAGGGAGCAGCCGAAGGCAGGUCGGAUGACUGGGGUGAAGUCGUAACAAGGUAUC
rnacentral:rRNA from 1 species